AGGUGGGGACGACGUCAAGUCAUCAUGGCCCUUACGAGUAGGGCUACACACGUGCUACAAUGGCGCAUACAGAGGGCGGCCAACUUGCGAAAGUGAGCGAAUCCCAAAAAGUGCGUCGUAGUCCGGAUUGGAGUCUGCAACUCGACUCCAUGAAGUCGGAAUCGCUAGUAAUCGUGGAUCAGAAUGCCACGGUGAAUACGUUCCCGGGCCUUGUACACACCGCCCGUCACACCAUGGGAGUGGGCUGCAAAAGAAGUAGGUAGUUUAACCUUCGGGGGGACGCUUACCACUUUGUGGUUCAUGACUGGGGUGAAGUCGUAACAAGGUAGCGCUAGGGGAACCUGGCGCUGGAUCACCUCCUUA
rnacentral:rRNA from 1 species